AUGGACAAAGUGGCACAAUAUGAGCGCGUUUUCAAUCACUUUGAUGCAAAUGGAGAUGGCAAAAUAUCACCUUUGGAGCUACAACAAUGUGUCAGGGCAAUCGGCGGAGAGAUGUCGUUGACAGAGGCAGAGGUGGCAGUGGAGCACCUGGACUCAGACGGUGAUGGGCUGCUGGGUUUGGAUGACUUUGUCAAGUUUGUUGACGGCGGAAGAGAAGAAGAGAAGGUGAAUGAUUUGAAGGAGGCGUUUAACAUGUACGUGAUGGAUGAUGGGUGUGGGUUUAGUUGCAUUACACCCAAGAGCCUUAAGAGGAUGCUGAGUAGACUUGGAGAGUCCAAGAGCGUUGAUGACUGCAAGGUCAUGAUUUCCAGAUUUGAUCUCAAUGGUGAUGGGGUCCUCAAUUUUGAUGAGUUUAAGGUCAUGAUGUUGUGA
rnacentral:lncRNA from 1 species